rnacentral:rRNA from 1 species
AGAAUCAACGCUGGCGGCGUGCCUAACACAUGCAAGUCGCACGAGAAAGUGGAGCAAUCCAUGAGUAAAGUGGCGCACGGGUGAGUAACACGUGAAUAAUCUACCUCCGAGUGGGGAACAACUGAGAGAAAUCUUAGCUAAUACCGCAUAAUACCCACGGGUCAAAGCAGUAAUGCGCUUGGAGAGGAGUUCGCGGCCGAUUAGUUAGUUGGCGGGGUAAUGGCCCACCAAGACGAUGAUCGGUAUCCGGCCUGAGAGGGCGCACGGACACACUGGAACUGAAACACGGUCCAGACUCCUACGGGAGGCAGCAGUGGGGAAUUUUGCGCAAUGGGGGAAACCCUGACGCAGCAACGCCGCGUGGAGGAUGAAAUCCCUUGGGAUGUAAACUCCUUUCGAUAGGGAAGAUAAUGACGGUACCUAUAGAAGAAGCCCCGGCUAACUUCGUGCCAGCAGCCGCGGUAAUACGAGGGGGGCAAGCGUUGUUCGGAAUUAUUGGGCGUAAAGGGUGCGUAGGCGGUUUGACAAGUCUUAUGUGAAAUCUUCGGGCUCAACCCGAAGUCUGCAUAGGAAACUGUCGGGCUUGAGUAUGGGAGAGGUGAGUGGAAUUUCCGGUGUAGCGGUGAAAUGCGUAGAUAUCGGAAGGAACACCUGUGGCGAAAGCGGCUCACUGGACCAUAACUGACGCUGAGGCACGAAAGCUAGGGGAGCAAACAGGAUUAGAUACCCUGGUAGUCCUAGCCCUAAACGAUGAUUGCUUGAUGUGGCAGGUACCCAAUCCUGCCGUGUCGAAGCUAACGCGAUAAGCAAUCCGCCUGGGGAGUACGGUCGCAAGGCUGAA